rnacentral:RNase_P_RNA from 1 species
UGAGCCGACCGGGUGAACGCGUCCUUUCCGAACCAACCUCCAUGAGGGGUAAGGCGGGGGACGAGGAAAGUCCGGACUCCACAGAGCACAGUGGUUGCUAACGGCAACCCGGGGCGACCCGCGGGCAAGUGCAACAGAAAGUAGACCGCCGAACGACUUCGCUACGCCUCGUCGUACGAAGAUCCGUGAGGUAAGGGUGAAACGGUGAGUUAAGAGCUCACCAGCACCGUCAGUGAUGGCGGUGGCUGGGUAAACCCCACUGGGAGCAAGGCAUCAUGGCCGGCAUUUUUUGCGGGCUUGAUCAGGCGUUCGAAGGCUGCUCGCUUUAGCCUGAAGGUAGCUGCUUGAACCAACUGGCAACGGUUGGUCUAGAUGGAUGUUCACCGCCGCACGCUUGAUGCGUGUGGGAAGACAGAAUCCGGCUUAUAGGCCGACUCAUUCG